rnacentral:lncRNA from 1 species
GAAAAAUUUUGAGACAACUCUCAACCAUAGCCCAAGAAAAUUAUGUAAUGAAACAGAAAGUAACUUUAACGCACAUAGUAACUCAUUUGUAUUUGAUAUAUAGAAUAUAAUUUACAAAUAUUAAUAGUAACUUUAAUGCUUUAUUGGGUCUGACAUAUAUUUUUUUCUUUCGGUUAUGGAAUACAAUUCUAGGUUGUUUGUGCCUUUUUAUUUUUCAUCAACACAAAUUAAUUUACUCUUUGAACCUUGUGGUAUGCAUUCUAAAUCAAAUAUGUUGCUGGAAAUUAUGUAUUCUACCAGAAUAGAAUUGAUAUAUUCUGCCAGAAUGUAUUAUAUGUAUUCUGUCAUAUUCUAUUUAUUCUACCAGAAUAUAUUAAGUGAUAGUUAAUUGCAAGUAACAUGUUUUUAACAAUUAUUAGUUUUUGUUGUAUUUGUGAUAGGAAUGGUUGGAAGAAGGCGUUGAAGACCUUCAUAUUCUUUUAGAAUAUGUAUAAUUAUAUUAAAAUGUAUAAGGAUUUUAGUCUGUAAGAAUAUGUAUGAAUUUGUAUUUAAGUUCGGAUGUAUAAGAAUAUAUUAGGAUGUUUGUUAUUUUUCAACAUCUGAUUCAAGAAUUUUGUUUUUCUUCAAUGAUAUUCUAUUAGAAUAAAAUUUUGAAAGAGCAUCAUUCUAACAAAAUAAUAUUCUAUUAGAAUAAUAUUCUANUUUGUUAUUUUUCAACAUCUGAUUCAAAAAAUUUGUUUUUCUUCAAUAAUAUUCUAUUAGAAUUAAAUUCUGAAAGAGCAUCAUUCUAACAAAAAAUAUUCUGACAGAAUAUAAUCGGUAAAAAUUGAAAUUGAAUUAAUUAAAAAAUUCAGAUUUUCUUAAAUUAGGAGAAUUAAUCAUCCCUAAAAAUCAGAAAAUUUCCUUUCAUAAAUGUAGUUAAUUGUCCAAAAUACCCUUUUGCUAAAAAUUGUGUGAUUAUAUGGU